rnacentral:misc_RNA from 1 species
AACGGUCUAUACCUGCGGUACCUGCGGAAGGAUCAUUAUAGAAUGAAAAUGAGCUUGUUGCUGGCUUCUUGAAGCAUGUGCGCGCUCACUACAUUUUAUUUUAUUUACCUCCUGUGCACCCUCGUGUAGACCUUGAAAAGGAAUGCCUCAAACUCCGAGGAUCACAUUUUUUCAAGGUUCUAUGUUUUCCUAGUAAACAACCCAGUGUAUGAAUGAAUUCAACGCCAUUCAGUGGCUUAA